GAAGAAGAAAGCGACCGGCGUCAGGGACCGAACAAAUCCAGCCCUUGGAAAUGCUCGACUUGGAGUUGCUGCGGCUGCUGCGGCUCCUCAUCAUCGUACAGAUUUGGUGUAUGGAACAAAGGAGGCGUCUGCUGGAGGAGCUUAUGGAAUCGAUGGAUAAUAUUCAAGAAUAGCAUAUGCUGCGGCUUCUCUCUUUUUUAAAGUACUUUAUUGAAACGUAAUAAACCUUCUUCUCCUGAAA
rnacentral:lncRNA from 1 species